AUGGACAGCAAAGACCUGAUGUCCACCAGCAGUCAUGUGAUUGACUUUGCAAAUGUAUCUCCUGAGGCCCAUCAAGAACCAGGCACUGAACCUGCACGUUUUCCAAAAAUUAUCUUGCACAAGAGUGUGUGCCUCCUCUCACUCAUUCUGAGUUAUCUUCCAGAACAACAAUAUGUUCUUUGCAAAGGAAGGGUUAAGUACUGCUUAAAAAUAUAA
rnacentral:lncRNA from 1 species